UACGAAAGGUCCAAGCGUUACUCGGAAUUACUGGGCGUAAAGGGCUCGUAGGCGGUUUGUCGCGUCGGGAGUGAAAAUCCAGGGCUUAACUCUGGACUGGCUUCCGAUACGGGCAGACUAGAGGUAUGCAGGGGAGAACGGAAUUCCUGGUGUAGCGGUGAAAUGCGCAGAUAUCAGGAGGAACACCGGUGGCGAAGGCGGUUCUCUGGGCAUUACCUGACGCUGAGGAGCGAAAGUGUGGGGAGCGAACAGG
rnacentral:rRNA from 1 species